UACAGAGGUCCCAAGCGUUGUUCGGAUUCACUGGGCGUAAAGGGUGCGUAGGCGGUCGGGUAAGUCUGAUGUGAAAUCUCACAGCUUAACUGUGAAACUGCAUUGGAUACUAUUCGGCUUGAGAGUUGGAGGGGGGACUGGAAUUCUUGGUGUAGCAGUGAAAUGCGUAGAUAUCAAGAGGAACACCAGUGGCGAAGGCAGAUCUCUGGGCCGUAACUGACGCUGAGGAGCGAAAGCAUGGGGAGCGAACAGG
rnacentral:rRNA from 1 species